CUGGUGAUGGAGAAGUAUAGAAAAGGCCAGAAGCAGUUAGAUUGUGUGUUUGUGGAUUUAGAAAAAGCUUAUGACAGGGUGCCAAGAGAAGAGUUGUGGUAU